rnacentral:misc_RNA from 1 species
GAUGAAGAACGCAGCGAAAUGCGAAAAGUAGUGUGAAUUGCAGAAUUCAGUGAAUCAUCGAAUCUUUGAACGCACAUUGCGCCCGCCAGCAUUCUGGCGGGCAUGCCUGUUCGAGCGUCAUUUCAACCCUCAAGCUCUGCUUGGUGUUGGGGCCCUACGUCUGACGUAGGCCCUCAAAGACAGUGGCGGACCCUCUCGGAGCCUCCUUUGCGUAGUAACUAACGUCUCGCACUGGGAUUCGGAGGGACUCUUGCCGUAAAACCCCCAAUUUUUACAGGUUGACCUCGGAUCAGGUAGGAAUACCCGCUGAACUUAAGCAUAUCAAUAAGCGGAGGA